rnacentral:rRNA from 1 species
UACGUAGGUGACGAGCGUUGUCCGGAUUUACUGGGCGUAAAGAGCGCGCAGGCGGUCGUUCAAGUCGAGUGUGAAAGCCCCCCGGCUCAACUGGGGAGGGUCACUCGAUACUGAUCGACUCGAAGGCAGGAGAGGGUAGUGGAAUUCCCGGUGUAGUGGUGAAAUGCGUAGAUAUCGGGAGGAACACCAGUGGCGAAGGCGACUACCUGGCCUGUUCUUGACGCUGAGGCGCGAAAGCUAGGGGAGCAAACGGG